AGCGAACGCUGGCGGCAGGCUUAACACAUGCAAGUCGAGCGGGCACCUUCGGGUGUCAGCGGCAGACGGGUGAGUAACACGUGGGAACGUACCCUUUGGUUCGGAACAACUCCGGGAAACUGGAGCUAAUACCGGAUAAGCCCUUCGGGGAAGGAUUAUCGCCAAAGGAUCGGCCCGCGUCUGAUUAGCUAGUUGGUGAGGUAAUGGCUCACCAAGGCGACGAUCAGUAGCUGGUCUGAGAGGAUGAUCAGCCACACUGGGACUGAGACACGGCCCAGACUCCUACGGGAGGCAGCAGUGGGGAAUAUUGGACAAUGGGCGCAAGCCUGAUCCAGCCAUGCCGCGUGAGUGAUGAAGGCCCUAGGGUUGUAAAGCUCUUUCGGCGGGGACGAUAAUGACGGUACCCGCAGAAGAAGCCCCGGCUAACUUCGUGCCAGCAGCCGCGGUAAC
rnacentral:rRNA from 1 species